UUGAUUACGAGCACCGCUGUUUCUUUCAGUCAUUCCUUCCUUCAGGCGUGCAUGGGGUGUCUUCAUCUACUGUAGCUGGCCUUUCAGGCUCCAGCCUGGAUGCUGAAGCCACAGCAGAGACCCAAGGGCUGUGGCUUCUAGUUUCUUACAGAACUCUGCACACUGGGUCCAGGUGACCACUCUGGACAUGGUUCUUUCAGAUGUAUUGCCGCAUGCCAGUCAGACAGGUUGUAGAUUUGCUCCGAGACUCAGUUUCCUCUUGUAUAAAAUGAGAAAGGUAUUAUACCUACCUCAGGAGAUUCUUGUGAGAAUGAAGAAAACCAAGGGUGUACAUGGCUAGCAUCAUGCCUGGCUAUUAUCACUAAGGACCAUAGCUUUGUCCUCGAGUGUGUGGUGUACUUGGGGUGAGCAAAUGGCCCAGAGUAUGAACGGCUGCAGCUUCAGCUGGGCUUUCUGGCCCAGGUACUCCAGUAACCCAGGGAACUUAACCAGUGCCCUUCACUAACGUGCCCUGUAUUUAUUUUGUGGGAUAACAGUGUGACACGGUGGUCAUGGGCCCUGGGUGGGUAUGACACUUACUAGCGGUAGGACUUGAGGCAAAUCACUUGGCCUCUGUGAUUCAGCUCCCCCAGAUGAAAAAUAGGUCCAGUAACACUUCCUGCAUGAAGUGAUUAUGAGCUGACAUGUGAAAAACUCUUAGAAUGGUCUCUGGUAUGCAGUGAGUACUCAGAAUUAUGAGCUAUUAUGAUUAUUACUGUUAUUGUCCUAGGCGAUUUGCUAAAUAUUCUCUGAUGACAAAUAUAAAGGUUUGCGUGGAUCCAUUGGGUGGUCUUGACCAGUAGUCAGCUCUGUGGACUCUGUCUCCUUGCAGGUUGACCUGAGAGCUGCCACCCUCUCCCAACUUCCCCUGUCCUUGGGAUGUACCUUCCGCCCAUGGCCCCACAGGGGAGCCAGUUUCAAGGACACAGCCUUGAGAGAGAGUAAGGUAUGAGGAUCAUCUGGACGGUAUAUGUGACCGAAGCCAGUUAAGGCCUCUGUUUAAACUUGGAAGAUUCUGGCAGGUGGGUGGGGAGAUGCCCUCGACUGUGGUGCCCCAGACCAGCCUCAUGUGUAAGUUCCCUGGCUUGUCACACCUGCCUCCUCCCCACCUGGAGUGGCUGCCUCUUUCCUUGGUCUUUGUCUGCCCUCUGUGUAUAGGGUUAGUUUUUGAAGCAGGGAGACAGGCCUGGGACCCUUUGCUGCAGUGUUUGCACCUGGUCGGGCUUCCCAGGUGGCGCCAGUGGUAACGAAUCUGCCUACAAAUGCAGGAGACGUGGGUUUGGUCCCUGGGUCAGGAAGAUCACCUCGAGGAGGAAAUGGCAGCCCACUGCAGUAUUCUUGCCUGAGAUAGCCCAUGGACAGAGCGCCUGGAGGGCUACAGCGCACGGGGUUGGAAAGAGUCGACACGACUGAGCGCACUUGCACAUUUGUACCUGGCCACACCUGUCCUCCAGCAUCAAAAUACAAAGAAACUAUAUGGGGCUAAAAAUAACUGUGUUGCACAUGCAGUUAGGGCAAAUUCUGGAUGAAAGAUACAAAGAGACUGAAAAACCCAACCGCCUCUUUGGAAGAGCCUGGAGCAAAAGCAGAAGGCUAGAUGGAACUUUGCACAUGGCUGGGUGAGCAUUCCAUAAAAAAGGAGCAAAAAAACACCCAAGGACUCCUGAGGCCCAGGCUUGGAAUGGGAACAAUGUCAAUUCUACCACACUUAAUUGGCCAAAGCAAUUCCCAAGGUCAGCCUCAAGGACAAAGAAAUACUCUCCACCUCUGGAAGGAAGAUGCUGCACAAUCAUCACACUGAAAAGAGCACAACGUGUGUGUUCUUAGUUCCCUGACCAGGGAUCGAACUUGGGAGUCCUGCAGUGAGAGCACCAAAUUCCAACCAGUGGAUGGCCAU